AGCUUUGCACAAUGACAGUAUCGUAGCCAAUGAGGUUUAUCCGAGGUGCGAUUAUUGCUAAUUGAAAAAUUGAGUUAAUCAGAACAUUCCAUAUUUUGAGCAUUUUGUUUAGUUGAUAUUUUGUUUAGCUCUGUUAUCAAU
ensembl:snRNA U4 U4 spliceosomal RNA